rnacentral:rRNA from 1 species
CCUCGGGCCGCACCAGUGAGGAAUAUUGCACAAUGGGGGGAACCCUGAUGCAGCAACGCCGCGUGGAGGAUGACGCAUUUCGGUGUGUAAACUCCUUUUAUAUGUCAAGAAAAUGACGGUAGCAUAUGAAUAAGCACCGGCUAACUCCGUGCCAGCAGCCGCGGUAAUACGGAGGGUGCAAGCGUUACUCGGAAUCACUGGGCGUAAAGGACGCGUAGGCGGGUUGGAAAGUCAGGUGUGAAAUCCUACAGCUUAACUGUAGAACUGCACUUGAAACUUAUAAUCUAGAGUAUGGGAGGGGGAGAUGGAAUUAGUGGUGUAGGGGUAAAAUCCGUAGAUAUCACUAGGAAUACCUAAAGCGAAGGCGAUCUCCUGGAACAUUACUGACGCUAAGGCGUGAAAGCGUGGGGAGCAAACAGGAUUAGAUACCCGAGUAGUC